GAGUUUGAUCGUGGCUCAGAACGAACGCUGGCGGCAUGCCUAACACAUGCAAGUCGAACGAUGGCUUCGGCCAUAGUGGCGCACGGGUGAGUAACGCGUGGGAACCUGCCUUCUGGUUCGGAAUAACUCCGGGAAACUGGAGCUAAUACCGGAUGAGCCCUGCGGGGCAAAGAUUUAUCGCCAGGAGAGGGGCCCGCGUCCGAUUAGGUAGUUGGUGGGGUAACGGCCUACCAAGCCGACGAUCGGUAGCUGGUCUGAGAGGAUGAUCAGCCACACUGGGACUGAGACACGGCCCAGACUCCUACGGGAGGCAGCAGUGGGGAAUAUUGGACAAUGGGCGCAAGCCUGAUCCAGCCAUACCGCGUGGGUGAAGAAGGCCUCGGUUGUAAG
rnacentral:rRNA from 1 species